rnacentral:rRNA from 1 species
GGGGAUAUUGCACAAUGGGGGAAACCCUGAUGCAGCAACGCCGCGUGAAGGAAGAAGGUCUUCGGAUUGUAAACUUUUGUCUUGUGGGAAGAUAAUGACGGUACCACAGGAGGAAGCUCCGGCUAACUACGUGCCAGCAGCCGCGGUAAUACGUAGGGAGCGAGCGUUGUCCGGAUUUACUGGGUGUAAAGGGUGCGUAGGCGGCUAGACAAGUCAGGUGUGAAAUACCGCAGCUCAACUGCGGGGCUGCACUUGAAACUGUAGAGCUUGAGUGAUGGAGAGGUAAGCGGAAUUCCUAGUGUAGCGGUAAAAUGCGUAGAUAUUAGGAGGAACACCAGUGGCGAAGGCGGCUUACUGGACAUUAACUGACGCUGAGGCACGAAAGCGUGGGGAGCAAACAGG